GCGCAGCGAAAGGUGCUUGCACCUUUCAAGCGAGUGGCGAACGGGUGAGUAACACGUGGAUAACCUGCCUCAAGGCUGGGGAUAACAUUUGGAAACAGAUGCUAAUACCGAAUAAAACUUAGUAUCGCAUGAUACAAAGUUGAAAGGCGCUACGGCGUCACCUAGAGAUGGGUCCGCGGUGCAUUAGUUAGUUGGUGGGGUAAAGGCCUACCAAGACAAUGAUGCAUAGCCGAGUUGAGAGACUGAUCGGCCACAUUGGGACUGAGACACGGCCCAAACUCCUACGGGAGGCUGCAGUAGGGAAUCUUCCACAAUGGGCGAAAGCCUGAUGGAGCAACGCCGCGUGUGUGAUGAAGGCUUUAGGGUCGUAAAGCACUGUUGUAUGGGAAGAAAUGCUAGAAUAGGGAAUGAUUCUAGUUCGACGGUACCAUACCAGAAAGGGACGGCUAAAUACGUGCCAGCAGCCGCGGUAAUACGUAUGUCCCGAGCGUUAUCCGGAUUUAUUGGGCGUAAAGCGAGCGCAGACGGUUGAUUAAGUCUGAUGUGAAAGCCCGGAGCUCAACUCCGGAAUGGCAUUGGAAACUGGUUAACUUGAGUGUUGUAGAGGUAAGUGGAACUCCAUGUGUAGCGGUGGAAUGCGUAGAUAUAUGGAAGAACACCAGUGGCGAAGGCGGCUUACUG
rnacentral:rRNA from 1 species